rnacentral:rRNA from 1 species
UACAGAGGUCUCAAGCGUUGUUCGGAUCCAUUGGGCGUAAAGGGUGCGUAGGUGGCGUCAUACGUCAGGUGUGAAAUCUCGGGGCUCAACCUCGAAACUGCACUUGAUACUGUGGUGCUUGAGUACUGGAGAGGAGAUUGGAAUUUACGGUGUAGCAGUGAAAUGCGUAGAUAUCGUAAGGAAGACCAGUGGCGAAGGCGAAUCUCUGGACAGUUACUGACACUGAGGCACGAAGGCCAGGGGAGCAAACGGG